AAGUCGUAACAAGGUUUCCGUAGGUGAACCUGCGGAAGGAUCAUUAAUGGAAUAAACCUGGUGGACUGUCGCUGGCUCUUGAGAGCAUGUGCACGUCUGUCAUCUUUAUCUUUCCACCUGUGCACCUUUUGUAGACCUGGAUGCUUAAUAUAUCAAUCUGAGGUCAACUCAGGCGUGAGGACUGUCGGCGUCGCAAGAUAUCGGCUUUCCUUGUAGCAUUCCAGGGACUAUGUUUUUCAUACACACUUUAAAAAUCUAAUAGAAUGUCGUUUUAAAAAGGUCUUUGUACCUAUAUAAAACAAAUAUACAACUUUCAGCAACGGAUCUCUUGGCUCUC
rnacentral:misc_RNA from 1 species